rnacentral:tRNA from 1 species
AAGCGAUUAGUUAAAAAAUAACUUGCGCUUGUCACGCGCAGAUUGCCCUUAGAGCAUCGCUUA